rnacentral:rRNA from 1 species
UUCUGGCUCAGGACGAACGCUGGCGGCGUGCUUAACACAUGCAAGUCGAGCGAUGAAGCUUCUUCGGAAGUGGAUUAGCGGCGGACGGGUGAGUAACACGUGGGUAACCUGCCUCAUAGAGGGGAAUAGCCUUCCGAAAGGAAGAUUAAUACCGCAUAAGAUUGUAAUAUCGCAUGAUAUAGCAAUUAAAGGAGUAAUCCGCUAUGAGAUGGACCCGCGUCGCAUUAGCUAGUUGGUGAGGUAACGGCUCACCAAGGCGACGAUGCGUAGCCGACCUGAGAGGGUGAUCGGCCACAUUGGGACUGAGACACGGCCCAGACUCCUACGGGAGGCAGCAGUGGGGAAUAUUGCACAAUGGGGGAAACCCUGAUGCAAGCAACGCCGCGUGAGUGAUGACGGUCUUCGGAUUGUAAAGCUCUGUCUUCAGGGACGAUAAUGACGGUACCUGAGGAGGAAGCCACGGCUAACUACGUGCCAGCCGCGGC